rnacentral:rRNA from 1 species
CCUACGGGAGGCAGCAGUGAGGAAUAUUGGUCAAUGGCCGGAAGGCUGAACCAGCCAAGCCGCGUGAAGGACGAAGGUGCCAAGCAUUGUAAACUUCUUUUGUCAAGGGACAAAAUCAGGCUCGAGAGCCUGACCGAGGGUACUUGAAGAACAAGCAUCGGCUAACUCCGUGCCAGCAGCCGCGGUAAUACGGGGGAUGCGAGCGUUAUCCGGUUUUCUUGGGUUUAAAGGGUGCGUAGGCGGACUGUUAAGUCAGCGGUAAAAGCUCGGGGCUCAACCCCGGCGAGCCGUUGAAACUGGCUGUCUUGAGAUGUCGAGAGGUAGGCGGAAUGCGCAGUGUAGCGGUGAAAUGCUUAGAUAUUGCGCAGAACUCCGAUUGCGAAGGCAGCAUACCGGCGGCGAUCUGACGCUGAGGCACGAAAGCGUGGGUAUCGAACAGGAUUAGAUACCCCUGUAGUC